rnacentral:rRNA from 1 species
AACGGCGAGUGAAGCGGCAACAGCUCAAAUUUGAAAUCUGGCUCCUUCGGGGUCCGAGUUGUAAUUUGUAGAGGGUGUUUCGGGUGCGAUGCCGGUCUAAGUUCCUUGGAACAGGACGUCGUAGAGGGUGAGAAUCCCGUAUGCGACCGGCGAUCAAGCCCGUGCGAAGCCCCUUCGACGAGUCGAGUUGUUUGGGAAUGCAGCUCAAAAUGGGUGGUAAAUUUCAUCUAAAGCUAAAUACUGGCCAGAGACCGAUAGCGGACAAGUAGAGUGAUCGAAAGAUGAAAAGCACUUUGGAAAGAGAGUCAAACAGUACGUGAAAUUGUUGAAAGGGAAGCGCUUGCAAUCAGACCGGUCCGGAGGCGAUCAGCCGCUGCUCGUCAGCGGUGCACUCGCCUGCGAUCCGGCCAGCAUCGGUUUGGGCGGCGGGAUAAAAGUCCCGGGAAUGUAGCUUCCUCCGGGGAGUCUUAUAGCCCGGGUCGCAAUGCCGCCCGCCCGGACCGAGGACCGCGCUUCGGCUAGGAUGCUGGCGUAAUGGUUGCAAGCGACCCGUCUUGAAACACGGACCAAGGAGUCUAACAUCUAUGCGAGUGUUUGGGUGUCAAACCCAGGCGCGGAAUGAAAGUGAACGGAGGUGGGAACCCGUCAGACGGCGCACCAUCGACCGAUCCAGAUGUCUUCGGAUGGAUUUGAGUAUGAGCAUAGCUGUUGGGACCCGAAAGAUGGUGAACUAUGCCCGGAUAGGGUGAAGCCAGAGGAAACUCUGGUGGAGGCUCGCAGCGGUUCUGACGUGCAAAUCGAUCGUCAAAUCUAGGCAUAGGGGCGAAAGACCAAUCGAACCAUCUAGUAGCUGGUUCCUGUCGAAGUUUCCCUCAGGAUAGCAGUAACGUUUUUCAGUUUUAUGAGGUAAAGCGAAUGAUUAGAGGCCUUGGGGCUGAAACAGCCUUAACCUAUUCUCAAACUUUAAAUAUGUAAGAAGUCCUUGUUACUUAGUUGAACGUGGACAUUUGAAUGUACCGUUACUAGUGGGCCAUUUUUGGUAAGCAGAACUGGCGAUGCGGGAUGAACCGAACGCGAGGUUAAGGUGCCGGAAUGCACGCUCAUCAGACACCACAAAAAGUGUCAAUUCAUCCAGACAGCCGGACGGUGGCCAUGGAAGUCGGAAUCCGCUAAGGAGUGUGUAACAACUCACCGGCCGAAUGAAUUGGCCUUGAAAAUGGAUGGCGCUCAAGC